GGGAUAACUACUGGAAACGGUAGCUAAUACCGCAUAACGUCGCAAGACCAAAGAGGGGGACCUUCGGGCCUCUUGCCAUCGGAUGUGCCCAGAUGGGAUUAGCUAGUAGGUGGGGUAACGGCUCACCUAGGCGACGAUCCCUAGCUGGUCUGAGAGGAUGACCAGCCACACUGGAACUGAGACACGGUCCAGACUCCUACGGGAGGCAGCAGUGGGGAAUAUUGCACAAUGGGCGCAAGCCUGAUGCAGCCAUGC
rnacentral:rRNA from 1 species